rnacentral:rRNA from 1 species
CCUACGGGAGGCAGCAGUGAGGAAUAUUGGUCAAUGGACGAGAGUCUGAACCAGCCAAGUAGCGUGAGGGAUGACUGCACUGUGGGUUGUAAACUUCUUUUAUAUGGGAAUAAAGUGUUCCACGUGUGGGAUUUUGUAUGUACCAUAUGAAUAAGUAUCGGCUAACUCCGUGCCAGCAGCCGCGGUAAUACGGAGGAUCCGAGCGUUAUCCGGAUUUAUUGGGUUUAAAGGGAGCGUAGGUGGAUUGUUAAGUCAGUUGUGAAAGUUUGCGGCUCAACCGUGAAAUUGCAGUUGAAACUGGCAGUCUGGAGUAGAGGAGAGGUGGGCGGAAUGCGUGGUGUAGCGGUGAAAUGCUUAGAUAUCACGAAGAACUCCGAUUGCGAAGGCAGCUUACUGGACUGAAACUGACACUGAGGCUCGAAAGUGUGGGUAUCAAACAGGAUUAGAUACCCUGGUAGUC